UACGGAGGAUGCAAGCGUUGUUCGGAAUUAUUGGGCGUAAAGGGCGCGUAGGUGGUUCUGUAUGUCUACCGUGAAAGCGUACGGCUCAACCGUAUUUUGUCGGUGGAAACUGCAGGACUUGAGGCUGGGAGGGGCUGGUGGAAUUCCCUGUGUAGCGGUGAAAUGCGUAGAGAUGGGGGAGAACACUCGUGGCGAAGGCGGCCAGCUAGACCAGUUCUGACACUGAGGCGCGACAGCGUGGGGAGCAAACAGG
rnacentral:rRNA from 1 species